rnacentral:rRNA from 1 species
UACGUAGGGUGCAAGCGUUGUCCGGAAUUAUUGGGCGUAAAGAGCUCGUAGGCGGUCUGUCGCGUCUGCUGUGAAAACUCGGGGCUUAACCCCGGGCCUGCAGUGGGUACGGGCAGACUAGAGUGCGGUAGGGGAGACUGGAAUUCCUGGUGUAGCGGUGAAAUGCGCAGAUAUCAGGAGGAACACCGGUGGCGAGGGCGGGUCUCUGGGCCGUAACUGACGCUGAGGAGCGAAAGCAUGGGGAGCGAACAGG